rnacentral:rRNA from 1 species
CGUUGUCGUCAGCUCGUGCCGUGAGGUGUUGGGUUAAGUCCCGUAACGAGCGCAACCCUUGUCCUUAGUUACCAGCACGUUAUGGUGGGCACUCUAAGGAGACUGCCGGUGACAAACCGGAGGAAGGUGGGGAUGACGUCAAGUCAUCAUGGCCCUUACGGCCUGGGCUACACACGUGCUACAAUGGUCGGUACAAAGGGUUGCCAAGCCGCGAGGUGGAGCUAAUCCCAUAAAACCGAUCGUAGUCCGGAUCGCAGUCUGCAACUCGACUGCGUGAAGUCGGAAUCGCUAGUAAUCGUGAAUCAGAAUGUCACGGUGAAUACGUUCCCGGGCCUU